AUUGAACGCUGGCGGCAGGCCUAACACAUGCAAGUCGAACGAGUGGCGGACGGGUGCGUAAUGUCUGGGAAACUGCCUGAUGGAGGGGGAUAACUACUGGAAACGGUAGCUAAUACCGCAUACCCUCGGAUGUGCCCAGAUGGGAUUAGCUAGUUGGUGGGGUAACGGCUACCCAAGGCGACGAUCCCUAGCUGGUCUGAGAGGAUGACCAGCCACACUGGAACUGAGAACCGGUCCAGACUCCUACGGGAGGCAGCAUUGGGGAAUAUUGCACAAUGGGCGCAAGCCUGAUGCAGCCAUGCCGCGUGUAUGAAGAAGGCCUUCGGGUUGUAAAGUACUUUCAGCGGGGAGGCGUUACCCGCAGAAGAAGCACCGGCUAACUCCGUGCCAGCAGCCGCGGUAAUUC
rnacentral:rRNA from 1 species